CCAGAACCUGGCAUUUCUGAAAUAUUUAUUUUAAUAAAAUACAAUGUUAAGGGAAAAUAUAAAAACACACAGUUAUGUAUUAUACUCUGUCUAAAGUUUCUGCGUCCACCAUUUUUUUUCUUAAUAUUUUGAUUAUCAAUCAAUUGUAAUACUUUUUUAUCGAAUUACCAAUCGGUCCAUUUACUGAAAUGAAAAGGGUCCAGAUUUUCUGUUCUUAUAUGCCCUUCUUCUGUUUAGAGUUUUAAUAAACAACCAAAAUAAGAAAGUCUACGGGGAUUUUGCAUAAUUGCAAACAAAAUGAGUACCCAGAUCAGUAAGUUGAAAAAGUGUGCAAGGUGUCCCAAAUACUUUGGAAUGGAGAAAGAUUUAAACAUUUUUCAUUAUUAAUUUGUUUUCUUUCAUGUUAAUUUUUCCAGGUAAAAAUUGUGAAGAAUCAAAUUGUGAAUGACAAAAUUAUAAUUUUCCCCUUGUUUCAAUUUGUCAGGUAUUUGUACCGGUAUUAUCUUUAAAAUUCAUAAAAAAAUGGCUGGAAACUGUAACAUGAGACAGACUAUAAAAUGUAUACAAGAAUAUGCUGCAAAUCAUAUAUAAAUUUGCAAAUUUUUUGUAGCUUAACAAUAACACAUAAAAAAAUUGGGGGGGGGGGGUGUUACAAUAUGCUGAUAUUUUGAUAUGCUGUUCAUUUUCUUUUUUUAAUUGAUAAACAUUUCCCGUUGUCAAGGUCAUUUCCACAAUAUUGAAUAAAGGUAAUUGUACAGUGUAGUAUAAAGAAAUUCAUUUUCAUUGUUUUUUUUUAAUAUAGUUAAAAUUUUGGAUCCGCACCUGUUGGCCAAUUCGAGUUAUUGCCCUUUAUUGAAAUAAAAAAAUAAAUAAACAACAAACGUAUAUAUCACAUAGAAAACAAGGUAUGAUUAAAAUUAAUAAACAAC
rnacentral:sRNA from 1 species